GUUUCCAUCCCCUUGCGGGGAAAAGGUAAUGUCAAC
rnacentral:other from 1 species